rnacentral:rRNA from 1 species
GACGAACGCUGGCGGCGUGCCUAAUACAUGCAAGUCGAACGAAGCUGUUUUAACUGGUGCUUGCACCGACUUAAACAACUGAGUGGCGAACGGGUGAGUAACACGUGGGUAACCUGCCCCGAAGCGGGGGAUAACAUUUGGAAACAGAUGCUAAUACCGCAUAACCACAGAAACCACAUGGUUUCUGUGUCAAAGAUGGUUUCGGCUAUCACUUUGGGAUGGACCCGCGGCGUAUUAGCUAGUUGGUAAGGUAAUGGCUUACCAAGGCAAUGAUACGUAGCCGAACUGAGAGGUUGAUCGGCCACAUUGGGACUGAGACACGGCCCAAACUCCUACGGGAGGCAGCAGUAGGGAAUCUUCCACAAUGGACGAAAGUCUGAUGGAGCAACGCCGCGUGAGUGAAGAAGGUUUUCGGAUCGUAAAACUCUGUUGUCAGAGAAGAACGUGUGCGAGAGUAACUGCUCGUGCAGUGACGGUAUCUGGCCAGAAAGCCACGGCUAACUACGUGCCAGCAGCCGCCGUAACAC